UCAGCUGUCACCAGGCUAUCUGUGAAUUCAUACAGAGAAUCUCAGAAAGACACAAUCGGGAAUAAGAAUGAAAUACCUAUACUAUACGCCUAAUAGAAAGAGCAGUGAUCGUAGUGAUAAUAGACAAAACUCUGAGGCUUCAGCUUGUAACCCCUAUCAAGGGUCACCCAACACGUUUUAUGACAGAAAGCCAUGACACACUUAUCAUUCGGGUUUUGAUCAUCAGACUUUAACUGCUAAUAUCGCAUCGACAGAAGUAAGUGUUUUUCACCAAUAUGAGACUUAGGAAAAUAAGCAUAAUGUAGACUGUAACAG
rnacentral:lncRNA from 1 species